rnacentral:rRNA from 1 species
AGCGGAGGAAAAGAAACCAACAGGGAUUGCCUCAGUAACGGCGAGUGAAGCGGCAAAAGCUCAAAUUUUAAAGCUGGCAUCUUCGGUGCCCGCGUUGUAAUUUUGUGAGGCAUCUCCGGGUAGGGCGCCAGCCUAAGUUCCUUGGAACAGGACGUCACAGAGGGUGAGAAUCCCGUGCUUGGCUGGCUGUCCCCGCCUAUGUGGGGUGUCUUCGACGAGUCGAGUUGUUUGGGAAUGCAGCUCAAAAUGGGUGGUAAAUUUCAUCUAAAGCUAAAUAUUGGUGGGAGACCGAUAGCGCACAAGUAGAGUGAUCGAAAGAUGAAAAGCACUUUGAAAAUAGAGUUAAAAAGUACGUGAAAUUGUUGAAAGGGAAGCGCUUGAGACCAGACUUCGGUCGGGGGUGAUCAGCCGUUCUUCUGGACGGUGCACUUGCCCCCUUCCGGGCCAGCAUCGGUUGAGGCGGCGGGAUAAAUGCUCCGGGAAUGUGGCUCCUCUCGGGGAGUGUUAUAGCCCGGGGAGAAUGCCGCCAGCCUCGACCGAGGACCGCGCCCGCAAGGGCUAGGAUGCUUGGCAUAAUGGUCUUCAGCGACCCGUCU